rnacentral:rRNA from 1 species
GACGAACGCUGGCGGCGUGCUUAACACAUGCAAGUCGAGCGGUAAGGCCCUUCGGGUACGACGAGCGGCGAACGGGUGAGUAACACGUGGGUGACCUGCCUCUAGCUCUGGGAUAAGCCUGGGAAACUGGGUCUAAUACCGGAUAUGACUCCACGGCGCAUGUUGUGGGGUGGAAAGCCUUGUGUGGCUAGAGAUGGGCCCGCGGCCUAUCAGCUUGUUGGUGGGGUGAUGGCCUACCAAGGCGACGACGGGUAGCCGGCCUGAGAGGGCGGACCGGCCGACACCUGGGACUGAGACACGGCCCAGACUCCUACGGGAGGGCAGCAGUGGGGAAUCUUGCGCAAUGGGCG